AAUGAACGCUGGCGGCGCGCCUAAUACAUGCAAGUCGAGCGAGAAGACGUAGCAAUACGUUUGUAAAGCGGCGAACGGGUGAGGAAUACAUGGGUAACCUACCCUCGAGUGGGGAAUAACUAGCCGAAAGGUUAGCUAAUACCGCGUACGCUUCUUGGACUUCGGUUCAGGGAGGAAAGCGAUACCGUGGGUAUCGCGCUCUUGGAUGGGCUCAUGUCCUAUCAGCUUGUUGGUGAGGUAACGGCUCACCAAGGCUUCGACGGGUAGCUGGUCUGAGAGGACGAUCAGCCACACUGGCACUGCGACACGGGCCAGACUCCUACGGGAGGCAGCAGUAAGG
rnacentral:rRNA from 1 species